rnacentral:rRNA from 1 species
GACAGAGGUGCCAAGCGUUAGGCGGAAUCACUGGGCUUAAAGCGUGUGUAGGCGGGUGCCUAAGUACCUUGUGAAAUCCCACGGCUCAACCGUGGAACUGCUGGGUAUACUGGGUGCCUUGGGUCAUCUAAGGGCUGCCGGAACAAAUGGUGGAGCGGUGAAAUGCGUAGAUAUCAUUUGGAACGCCAACGGCGAAAGCAGGCAGCUGGGGAUGCACCGACGCUGAGACACGAAAGCCAGGGGAGCGAACGGG